AUUGAACGCUGGCGGCAUGCCUUACACAUGCAAGUCGAACGGUAACAGGUCUUCGGAUGCUGACGAGUGGCGAACGGGUGAGUAAUACAUCGGAACGUGCCUAGUAGUGGGGGAUAACUACUCGAAAGAGUGGCUAAUACCGCAUGAGAUCUACGGAUGAAAGCAGGGGAUCGCAAGACCUUGUGCUACUAGAGCGGCCGAUGGCAGGUUCGGUAGUUGGUGGGAUAAAAGCUUACCAAGCCGACGAUCUGUAGCUGGUCUGAGAGGAAGAUCAGCCACACUGGGACUGAGACACUGCCCAGACUCCUACGGGAUGCAGCAGUGGGGAAUUUUGGACAAUGGCCGCAAGCCUGAUCCAGCAAUUCCGCGUGCAGGAUGAAGGCCUUCGGGUUGUAAAGGACUUUUGUCGGGGAGGAAAUCCCCAGCGUUAAUACCGCUGGGGGAUGACAGUAUCUGAAGAAUAAGCACCGACUAACUACGUGCCAGCCGCCGCAGUAAAAC
rnacentral:rRNA from 1 species